rnacentral:rRNA from 1 species
AUUGAACGCUGGCGGCAGGCCUAACACAUGCAAGUCGAGCGGUAGCACAGAGAGCUUGCUCUCGGGUGACGAGCGGCGGACGGGUGAGUAAUGUCUGGGAACCUGCCUGAUGGAGGGGGCUAACUACUGGAAACGGUAGCACAUAACGCAUCAUGUCGCCAGACCCAAGAGAGGGGAAUUCGGGCCUCCAGCCAUCCGACGUGCCCAGAUGGGAUUAGCUAGUAGGUGGGGGAAUGGCUCACCUAGGCGACGAUCCCUAGCCGGUCUGAGAGGAUGACCAGCCACACUGGAACUGAGACACGGUCCAGACUCUUACGGGAGGCAGCAGUGGGGAAUAUUGCACAAUGGGCGCAAGCCUGAUGCAGCCAUGCCGCGUGUAUGAAGAAGGCCUUCGGGUUGUAAAGUACUUUCAGCGGGGAGGAAGGCGGUGAAGUUAAUAGCUUCACCGAUUGACGUUACCCGCAGAAGAAGCACCGGCUAACUCCGUGCCAGCCGCCGCGGUAA